AGUCAUAUGCUUGUCUCAAAGAUUAAGCCAUGCAUGUCUCAGUACAAGCCGCACUAAGGUGAAACCGCGAAAGGCUCAUUAAAUCAGUUAUGGUUCCUUAGAUCGUACCCACACUUACUUGGAUAACUGUGGUAAUUCUAGAGCUAAUACAUGCAAACAGAGCUCCGACCGGAGACGGGAGGAGUGCUUUUAUUAGAUCAAAACCAAUCGGCGGCGGUGGCGUUCGCGCGUCACCGUUACCCGCUCAACCUGGUGACUCUGAAUAACUUUCCGCUGAUCGCACGGUCUCGCACCGGCGACGCAUCUUUCAAAUGUCUGCCUUAUCAACUGUCGAUGGUAGGUUCUGCGCCUACCAUGGUCGUAACGGGUAACGGGGAAUCAGGGUUCGAUUCCGGAGAGGGAGCGUGAGAAACGGCUACCACAUCCAAGGAAGGC
rnacentral:rRNA from 1 species